rnacentral:rRNA from 1 species
CCUACGGGUGGCUGCAGUGGGGAAUAUUGCGCAAUGGGCGAAAGCCUGACGCAGCGACGCCGCGUGAGGGAUGAAGGUCUUCGGAUCGUAAACCUCUGUCAGCAGGGAAGAACGGUCACUGUGCUAAUCAGCAGUGAAUUGACGGUACCUGCAAAGGAAGCACCGGCUAACUCCGUGCCAGCAGCCGCGGUAAUACGGAGGGUGCGAGCGUUAAUCGGAAUUACUGGGCGUAAAGCGCUCGUAGGCGGUAUGUCAAGUCAGCGGUAAAAUCGCGGGGCUCAACCUCGCUCCGCCGUUGAAACUGGCGUUCUUGAGUGGGCGAGAAGUAUGCGGAAUGCGUGGUGUAGCGGUGAAAUGCAUAGAUAUCACGCAGAACUCCGAUUGCGAAGGCAGCAUACCGGCGCCCAACUGACGCUGAAGCACGAAAGCGUGGGUAUCGAACAGGAUUAGAUACCCCAGUAGUC